AUACGGAGGGUGCAAGCGUUAAUCGGAAUUACUGGGCGUAAAGCGCUCGUAGGCGGCUUGUAAAGUCGGAUGUGAAAGCCCCGGGCUCAACCUGGGAACUGCAUUCGAUACUGCUUGGCUAGAGUAUGGUAGAGGGUAGUGGAAUUCCUGGUGUAGCGGUGAAAUGCGUAGAUAUCAGGAGGAACAUCAGUGGCGAAGGCGGCUACCUGGACCAAUACUGACGCUGAGGUGCGAAAGCGUGGGGAGCAAACAGGAUUAGAAACCCCAGUAGUCC
rnacentral:rRNA from 1 species